rnacentral:misc_RNA from 1 species
AAUAAUAAUAAUAAUAAUAAUCCAUUACAAGUCGCAUACAUCAGAGUUCAAAACUUAAAUAUGUGGAGGGAAAUGGGCUGUUAAACUUACGCCCUAACCUCCUAACCACUUGUACAAUAUAAGGGGGAUAGGACAUAGACAUUUGCGAAACUCCUAUCUAGUCUGUUUGCUCAAAUGGGACACGUACGAAAAGUUGUCCAUGCAGGGUCACCACAGCUGAAGUUUGAUGUGGAUCGAUCCUUGAGGGUAAGCUAACCACCUGCCACCAACACAAAAAAAAAAAAAUAAUAAU